rnacentral:rRNA from 1 species
GUGAGACAGUUCGGUCCCUAUCUGCCGUGGGUGUAGGAUACUUGAGAGGAUUUGUCCUUAGUACGAGAGGACCGGGAUGAACAUACCUCUGGUGUACCAGUUGUUCUGCCAAGAGCAACGCUGGGUGGCUAAGUAUGGAAGGGAUAACCGCUGAAUGCAUCUAAGCGGGAAACCCACCUCAAAACUAGGUAUCCCCAUUAAGAUCGUGGUAGACCACCACGUCGAUAGGUCGCGUGUGUAAGCAUGGUAACGUGUUUAGCUAAGCGAUACUAAUAAUCUGAUUGGCUUGAUUUA